rnacentral:lncRNA from 1 species
AUUGCUCGAUAAAUCGAGUUGGAAUGUGGAUUGGGGUUGAAAUUUGGUUAGUUUCGAGGACGAAACUCUUUUUAAGGAGGGGAGGAUGUAAGGUACCGAACUUCUAAAAUUAUGAAGUUACGGCGGAUGUAGUAUGCUAGAUUUUUAAUAUAAAAAUAAAUAUAAAUAAAAAUAGUGUGAGAUACUAUUUUUAUUGGACUUAAGGGUGUAAAGUAUAAGUUGGAAAUGAUCUGUGCUGAAAUCGGAGCGAAAACAGAAGAUUUAGAAUUUUCUGUGAGAGACGGGGCAGAUAAAUUAGCAGAAAAUGCACAGUGUCAGAAAAUUAUGAAAACUAAAGGAUAUGUCAGAAUUAUUUUUGUGAGG